rnacentral:rRNA from 1 species
UGAGUAACCUGCCCUUAACUCUGGGAUAAGCCUGGGAAACUGGGUCUAAUACCGGAUAUGACUCCUCAUCGCAUGGUGGGGGGUGGAAAGCUUUAUUGUGGUUUUGGAUGGACUCGCGGCCUAUCAGCUUGUUGGUGAGGUAAUGGCUCACCAAGGCGACGACGGGUAGCCGGCCUGAGAGGGUGACCGGCCACGCUGGGACUGAGACACGGCCCAGACUCCUACGGGAGGCAG